rnacentral:rRNA from 1 species
CUAAUGGGACUGCCGGUGACAAACCGGAGGAAGGUGGGGAGUGACGUCAAGUCCUCAUGGCCCUUAUAGGUGGGGCUACACACGUCAUACAAUGGCCGGUACAGAGGGUAGCCAACCCGUGAGGCGGAGCCAAUCUCAAAAAGCCAACCUCAGUUCGGAUUGCAGUCUGCAACUCGACUGCAUGAAGUUGGAAUCGCUAGUAAUCGCUGAUCAGCAGGCAGCGGUCGAAUACGUUCCCGGGCCUU